UACGUAGGGUGCGAGCGUUGUCCGGAAUUACUGGGCGUAAAGCGCUCGUAGGCGGUUUGUCACGUCGGCUGUGAAAACCCAUCGCUCAACGGUGGGCUUGCAGUCGAUACGGGCUGACUUGAGUACUGCAGGGGAGACUGGAAUUCCUGGUGUAGCGGUGAAAUGCGCAGAUAUCAGGAGGAACACCGGUGGCGAAGGCGGGUCUCUGGGCAGUAACUGACGCUGAGGAGCGAAAGCGUGGGGAGCGAUCAGU
rnacentral:rRNA from 1 species